UUCAGAUGGAUGGGGAAGGACCUCUCCUGCUGGAGGGGGCCCAGCAGCGUCUGCUCCACGCUGACCAGCUCCGAAGUCGAGUCCACCACGCGGGCCAGCGCACUGCGCAUCGCCAUCUGGGCCAGGGACUUCGAUGAGGAAACAAGCAGCUGGGUACAGAUGCAUCCGUCCGCAGGGAUACCCCGCCCCCACCUCCUUUGAAGAAUGCCUGUCAGUGACCAUUCAUGCCCUGGGUCCUGAGGGUGGCAGGCAAUGGGCUGGAUUUGGCCUGUGUCCCAACCCUUGAACAGAAGAGUUGACAGCAUUGGAAUUGGAGUUAGAAUCUCCAGAAGAAAUUACAG